GACGAACGCUGGCGGCGUGCUUAACACAUGCAAGUCGAACGGAAAGGCCCUGCUUUUGUGGGGUGCUCGAGUGGCGAACGGGUGAGUAACACGUCAGUAACCUGCCCUUGACUUUUGGAUAACUUCAGGAAACUGGGGCUAAUACCGGAUAGGAGCUCCUGCUGCAUGGUGGGGGUUGGAAAGUUUCGGCGGUUGGGGAUGGACUCGCGGCUUAUCAGCUUGUUGGUGGGGUAGUGGCUUACCAAGGCUUUGACGGGUAGCCGGCCUGAGAGGGUGACCGGCCACAUUGGGACUGAGAUACGGCCCAGACUCCUACGGGAGGCAGCAGUGGGGAAUAUUGCACAAUGGGCGGAAGCCUGAUGCAGCAACGCCGCGUGCGGGAUGACGGCCUUCGGGUUGUAAACCGCUUUCGCCUGUGACGAAGCGUGAGUGACGGUAAUGGGUAAAGAAGCACCGGCUAACUACGUG
rnacentral:rRNA from 1 species